rnacentral:rRNA from 1 species
UACGAGUGCCCCGAGCGUUAUCCGGAAUUAUUGGGCGUAAAGAGCUCGUAGGCGGCUGGUUGCGUCUGCUGUGAAAUCCCGGGGCUUAACCCCGGGCGUGCAGUGGAUACGGGCCGGCUGGAGGCAGGCAGGGGAGAAUGGAAUUCCCGGUGUAGCGGUGAAAUGCGCAGAUAUCGGGAGGAACACCGGUGGCGAAGGCGGUCUGCUGGGGUAAUGCUGACACUGAUGCGCGACAGCGUGGGGAGCAAACAGG